GGUAUGAGCUUUCGUGUGCAUGCACACUUCUUCAGAUAUCUGAAGAAGAUAUCAGGUAUCUGAAGAAGUGUGCAUGCACACGAAAGCUCAUACC